rnacentral:rRNA from 1 species
UUGGAGGGCAAGUCUGGUGCCAGCAGCCGCGGUAAUUCCAGCUCCAAUAGCGUAUAUUAAAGUUGUUGCAGUUAAAAAGCUCGUAGUUGAAUUUCGGGGUCAGUAGGUCGGUCGUGCCACUGGUAUGAACUGGUUUUACUGAUUCCUCCCUCUUGAAGAACUGUAAUGCCAUUAAUUUGGUGUUGCAGGGAAUCAGGACUGUUACUUUGAAAAAAUUAGAGUGUUUAAAGCAGGCUUUAGCUUGAAUACAUUAGCAUGGAAUAAUGAAAUAGGACGUUUGAUCCUAUUUUGUUGGUUUCUAGGAUUGACGUAAUGAUUAAUAGGGAUAGUUGGGGGCAUUAGUAUUCAAUUGUCAGAGGUGAAAUUCUUGGAUUUAUUGAAGACUAACUACAGCGAAAGCAUUUGCCAAGGAUGUUUUCAUUAAUCAAGAACGAAAGUUAGGGGAUCGAAGACGAUCAGAUACCGUCGUAGUCUUAACCAUAAACUAUGCCGACUAGGGAUCGGAUGAUGUUAAUUUUUUAAUGACUCAUUCGGCGCCUUACGGGAAAC